UAGGGAAUCUUCCUCAAUGGACGCAAGUCUGACGGAGCAACGCCGCGUGAGUGAAGAAGGAUUUCGGUUCGUAAAACUCUGUUGUUAGAGAAGAACAGCGCAUAGAGUAACUGUUAUGCGUGUGACGGUAUCUAACCAGAAAGCCACGGCUAACUACGUGCCAGCAGCCGCGGUAAUACGUAGGUGGCAAGCGUUGUCCGGAUUUAUUGGGCGUAAAGCGAGCGCAGGCGGUCAAUUAAGUCUGAUGUGAAAGCCCCCGGCUCAACCGGGGAGGGUCAUUGGAAACUGGUUGACUUGAGUGCAGAAGAGGAGAGUGGAAUUCCAUGUGUAGCGGUGAAAUGCGUAGAUAUAUGGAGGAACACCAGUGGCGAAGGCGACUCUCUGGUCUGUAACUGACGCUGAGGCUCGAAAGCGUGGGUAGCAAACAGG
rnacentral:rRNA from 1 species